rnacentral:rRNA from 1 species
AACGAACGCUGGCGGCAGGCCUAACACAUGCAAGCCGAACGCAUCCUUCGGGGUGAGUGGCGCACGGGUGAGUAACACGUGGGAAUGUACCCUUUGGUUCGGAAUAACGUUUGGAAACGAACGCUAAUACCGGAUGAGCCCUACGGGGGGAAGAUUUAUCGCCAAAGGAGCAGCCCGCGUCUGAUUAGCUAGUUGGUGGGGUAAAGGCCUACCAAGGCGACGAUCAGUAGCUGGUCUGAGAGGAUGAUCAGCCACACUGGGACUGAGACACGGCCCAGACUCCUACGGGAGGCAGCAGUGGGGAAUAUUGGACAAUGGGCGCAAGCCUGAUCCAGCCAUGCCGCGUGAGUGAUGAAGGCCUUCGGGUUGUAAAGCUCUUUCGCACGCGACGAUGAUGACGGUAGCGUGAGAAGAAGCCCCGGCUAACUUCGUGCCAGCAGCCGCGGUAA